AGAGUUUGAUUCUGGCUCAGGAUGAACGCUGGCGGCGUGCUUAACACAUGCAAGUCGAACGAGCACUUCGGUGCGAGUGGCGGACGGGUGAGUAACGCGUGGGUAACCUGCCCUGUACAGGGGAAUAACAGAGAGAAAUCUCUGCUAAUGCCGCAUAAGCGCACGGCACCGCAUGGUGCAGUGUGAAAAGCUCCGGCGGUACAGGAUGGACCCGCGUCUGAUUAGCUUGUUGGCGGGGUAACGGCCCACCAAGGCAACGAUCAGUAGCCGGCCUGAGAGGGUGAUCGGCCACAUUGGGACUGAGAUACGGCCCAGGCUCCUACGGGAGGCAGCAGUGGGGAAUAUUGCACAAUGGGGGAAACCCUGAUGCAGCCAACGCCGCGUGAGUGAAGAAGUAUUUCGGUAUGUAAAGCUCUAUCAGCAGGGAAGAAGAUGACGGUACCUGCACAAGAAGCCCCGGCUAACUACGUGCCAGCCGCCGC
rnacentral:rRNA from 1 species